UCUUGGGAUUGGUACUUAAUUGAAUAUGAUUCAUAUUAUUUCCGCUGCGUAGUACCUAUAAACUCCUACAUGGGGCAGCUGCUAGGAGCUCCUAGAUACCACCUUUUGCUGUGAUUAAAUUAAAAAAAGUAAUUGCAAUGGCCUUUAAUAAGUAAACUAAACUCUUCUAAAAGUAAACUAAGUACCUUUUAAAGUAUAUGAAAUCACUCCUAAAGUAGAUAAUUUUUUCUAGUUUGAUCAGGCUAAUAAACUUUUCGCUUCAAAUAAAUUUGGUUGAACUAUAGUGUUAAUUUGCCUGCUUAUAAAACAAAUUUUGUUUAAGCCAUUAUGGUAGACGUUGUUGCUGUUGUGUUAGUUUUGAAGAGACUAGAAAGUAGGAAGAUAGCUGCUUGUGGACAACUUUGUGUUGUUGUUAUGGUGUGGAUAAGCUGGCAGCAAGAUUGAUGAGAGGAGAGUGUGGAUUUUUGUGUAGGUUGAUUUUUUAUUCUAAAAUUUGUAAAAUUAUAAGUGGACUUGAAUAUAAUUCCACUAAAAGUAAACUAAAUAUUUUUAAUAGUAGAUUAAAUUACUCAAAAAGUAGAUAAUCAAUGAAUUUAUGGUUGAGGAUUUUAUCCCUAUUGUAAUAAGCAGAUAGAAAUAUGAUAAGAGUAAAUAAAAAACGAGGUGCUGGUAUGCCCUUUCCUAUAGUUGGUCACCAACACGUCACCUGAUGAGGGGUGGGGAAAGAUGAAUGUUGAUGCUGGAGUUGUAGAGGAGUUGGGGGCUGGGGGCAGUGUUGCGUGACUAUAAUGGCUCGGUUUAGUGUUGUUCUGUGGUGCAGGGCAUCGAAUGGUUCAGGGUGAUCCUGUUGUCCAAUGGGUUCUUGCUGAAAUCUGAGUUUUGGGAAAUUUCACGGUUUAUGCAUGCUCAUCGCUUGAUUCUCAAGGAGUAUAGGGGAGUGUCCCAAGUAUUGGUACUGUACCAGAUUGGGCUCAACAACCUUUACCCGCUGAACAAUAUCCUACUGCUGUGCUUCAGAAAAGGGUGAUUCAGGUUCCCCUAAAAAAAAGGGGGUGAUUCAGGUGGAUGGACUAGAUCAAGUUCAGUUUUUGGUGCAUUGGAAAGGGUUUCUUGAAUAUGAAGCAACUUAGGUGCAUGCUACUGCUUUUCUAUCUCAAUUUCCUAUUUUUCAGUUUGCUGAUUUGCAGACUUAAAUCAAUCCAUGAUUAGUUAAACAUUCUCAGGACUACAAUCAGAAAUUGUAUUUUCUGUAUCAUAAGAAUGGUUGUGCACUAUAUCAUGGUAGACGGUUAGCGCCCCUAGAUCAAGAAUUUAUAUUAUACA